UUAAAUAAUAAAGUUUGAUUCUUGCUUUUUAAUUAACUACAAAAUAAUAAUAAUAUGUGAGUGUUUGCGCGUUAAAAGUAUUCUAAAUGGAUUUAAUAGUUAAUUGCAAUAUUUAAUAUUAUGAUUUUAAUAUUUUUUGAUAUAGUUAUUUUUAUAGUUUUGACAAAUAUUGUGCCAGCAGUCGCGGUUAUACAAUAAAGGCUAGUUAAUUAGUUCGGUUUGUAUUAUUUAUUUUAUGUUUAAUUUAUAUAUUAAAUUAUUUAGUGAAAUAUUAAUUUAUAAUUAAGUUACGGUUUAUUAAAAUAUUCGAAAGUUUUAAUAAAAACUAGGAUUAGAUACCCUAUUAUUUUGACUGUAAAUUUUUUAACCUUAAUAUUAAUAGUUAUGAUCUUUAAAUUUAAAGAAUUUGGCGGUAAUUUAAUCUUUCUAGAGGAACCUGUCCUAUAAUUGAUAAUCCACGUUGAAUUUUACUUUUAUUAAAGCUUGUAUACCUCUGUCAUUGAAUGUUUUUUUAGAAAAAUUUUCUUUAAUCUUUAUGAGUAUAAUGUUAGGUCAAGGUGCAGCUAUAUAAAAGUAGAGAUGGGUUACAUUUAUUAUAUUAUUGAAUAUUUAUAUGUAAAUAAAAAUUGAAAUUGGAUUUAGACGUAAUUUAUAUUAUAAUAUAUUUUUGAUUUUGGCUCUAAAUUAUGUACACAUCGCCCGUCACUCUUGUUUUAAGAUAAGAUAAGUCGUAACAAAGUAGGCCUACCGGAAGGUGGGCCUAGAUUUAUUU
rnacentral:ncRNA from 1 species